CUCUGUCGGACCUGCCUCUCAGUCAUUCCUGAGCUGUUAUUUCCAAAUCCAGGAACAGCUCACCUGGGGCUCCCACCCCUGCUUCCUGAUCUCGACCAUGACCCUUGCCCUUCCUGCCUCAGUUCCUGUAAGGCAAUCGGGGUGUCAGGGCCUUGUCCACCGUUCUCCCCAGGUCACCAGCCUGGAGCCCCAGCCUUGGGUUCCCAUCACCUGAGCCACCAGUGACCAGCAGACUAAUCCGUCCCUCGCCUGUGGCCUGGGCAGCAGGACGUUAGCCUGACCCUUGUGGGGUGCAUCGGGUGCAGCUAAGGGGCCGCUGGCAUGAUCCCCAGGCACUGCCCUGCAGUGUGGAAAAGCACAAGUCUCACAAGAGGUGCUUGAGUUCAGUGAGUUUGCUCGGAUCUCUGUUGGCUGCUUUGCACAGGAUGUUUCAAACCCUCCCAAGCUGGCAAAAGGGGACCAGUGCUUUGUCCAUGACUUCCGUCCUCGGAGGGUUCUUCUGCCCCCUUCAGAGAGUUCCCGUGACAGUGAAGAGCCCUCAGGGCUGCUGGCCGCCUGCCCGUCAGCCUGGCCCUGACCCUGGAGGACACUUGAGCAAGGUCACUGAGGAGGAAGGAUGGGAAUGAGAAAAAAGAAACCGUGCAAAUACGUGGACACCGUCCUUAAGGCGUGGAAGCAGUCAUCUCUGCUGCCAUCUGCUGUGCGUGUUGGGAAUGACACCUGAUUGCUUAUCACCAGGAAAAGCUCUUCUCUGCUGCCAUCUCGUGGUCAUCAUGGGAAUCACACCUGAGCGGAGGAGGCAUUGUUCCUACACCCUGAAAUACCCUCCUGUGAUGACUCUGACCUGCUCUCCAAUAACACACUUACUAGGUUCGAGCAGAAGAAUUAAUUCUUUAGAGGCCCCAAUAGUAUUGGGGGAGGCUGCGAGGAGAAUUACUGGCUGGGACACUGCUAGUGUCUGGAAACCGCUGCAGCUGAAAACCUGGGGACGUCUGCCAGCAGAGAGGCCACGUGAUGGUUCCAGGGGUCUGCAUGGAGCCUUCCUUCUGGCGAUGUUGUUCUCCAAUGUGGUCACCAACCAGGAGCAGUGAUGACAGUAACCUGGAAGGAAUGCUAGGCCAUAAAGACUGUGAUCAGUAAGU